rnacentral:lncRNA from 1 species
GCCUAUGGAAAUCACUCAAACACGUGGCUAAAAGAAAUAAAAUUAAAAAACAUCAAAAUUGAAAUAUCAUACAAGUAAAAUCAUCUUAACUUAGUUGAUUGCCUCAUUUGUCUCAUCCACCCAUUUCCCUAUGGUGUGAUCACUUUUAUCUCCAGUGUCCAUAACUUAUUCAUAUAAGGGUUUGUUUGGGAGUUAGAUUUUAAAGAGGGAAAAAGAAAAAAGAGAAGACUUGAAAGUCAUCUCACAAGUGUAUUUUAUGGUCUCAAACGUUCCAUUUCCCUUACUUCCCCUCCAAAAUUCAACUCUCAAACAAGUCCUGAGUAAGAAAUUGC